rnacentral:lncRNA from 1 species
AUUUGGCAUAAUGUUACAAUGUUUUGCCUUAACGAUUUAUCACUUCAUUGUCAAACAUGGCCAAAAUCUUGCGUAUAUUUGUGUCCACAAUGUGUUGAAUAUCCUAAAGUAUAGCCAAAAGAAAGAAUAUCAACUUCAAUAUUUGAACUUCAACCACACUUCUUUUUUUUUUUUCCUUCCCAAACUCAGUCUCUAAGAUUAGUGAUUCUAGUCAGGAUUUUCUCCUUUUUUUAUUGAGCAAAUUAAGUUAUUAUAUAUUAAGAUAGUUAACUGUGGUUGAGUUUUAGAAAAGUGAGAAUAAUAAGCUUUCACCUCAGUGUUUUUGGGCUGAGGGUUUGUAACGGU